GUUUUUGAAACUGAAUCUUACUCUGUCGCCCAGGCUGGAGUGCUGUGGCACGAUCUCAGCUCACUGCAACCUCCGCCUCCCAGAGGUGGAGUUUCACCAUAUUGGCCAGGCUGGUCUCAAAACUCCUGACCUCAAGUGAUCCGUCUGCCUGGGCCUCCCAAAGCGCUGGGAUUACAGCCACCUUCUGGGUGAACCCUCAGUUCAAGAUCCGGCUGGAUGAGACGGAUGACCCGGACGACUACGGGGACCGCGAGUCAGGCUGCAGCUUCGUGCUCGCCCUUAUGCAGAAGCACCGUCGCCGCGAGCGCCGCUUCGGCCGCGACAUGGAGACUAUUGGCUUCGCGGUCUACGAGGUCCCUCCGGAGCUGGUGGGCCAGCCGGCCGUACACUUGAAGCGUGACUUCUUCCUGGCCAAUGCGUCUCGGGCACGCUCAGAGCAGUUCAUCAACCUGCGAGAGGUCAGCACCCGCUUCCGCCUGCCACCCGGGGAGUAUGUGGUGGUGCCCUCCACCUUCGAGCCCAACAAGGAGGGCGACUUCGUGCUGCGCUUCUUCUCAGAGAAGAGUGCUGGG
rnacentral:sRNA from 1 species